rnacentral:rRNA from 1 species
GCUGGAAUCGCUAGUAAUCGCGAAUCAGAAUGUCGCGGUGAAUACGUUCCCGGGUCUUGUACACACCGCCCGUCACACCAUGGGAGUCAGUAACGCCCGAAGCCGGUGACCCAACCGAUAAGGAGGGAGCCGUCGAAGGUGGGACCGAUAACUGGGGUGAAGUCGUAACAAGGUACC